AGAGUUUGAUCCUGGCUCAGGAUGAACGCUAGCGACAGGCUUAACACAUGCAAGUCGAGGGGCAGCGAGGGCGUAGCAAUACGCCUGUCGGCGACCGGCGCACUGGUGAGUAACACGUAUGCGACCUGCCCCCUACAGGGGUAUAACCCGUAGAAAUGCGGACUAAUCCCCCAUAGUCCCGUUGGCUGCAUGGCCAUCGGGGGAAAGGCCAGCCGGUAGGGGAUGGGCAUGCGGCGCAUUAGCUAGUUGGCGGGGUAACGGCCCACCAAGGCGACGAUGCGUAGGGGUUCUGAGAGGAAGGUCCCCCACAUUGGUACUGAGACACGGACCAAACUCCUACGGGAGGCAGCAGUGAGGAAUAUUGGUCAAUGGGCGGAAGCCUGAACCAGCCAAGUCGCGUGAGGGAAGACGGCCCUAUGGGUUGUAAACCUCUUUUGCCGGGGAGCAAAAGCGCCGUGCGCGGUGCUAUGAGAGUACCCGGAGAAAAAGCAUCGGCUAACUCCGUGCCAGCAGCCGCGGUAAUACGGAGGAUGCGAGCGUUAUCCGGAUUUAUUGGGUUUAAAGGGUGCGCAGGCGGCGCGCCAAGUCAGCGGUCAAAGUUCCGGGCUCAACCCGGUGUCGCCGUUGAAACUGGCGUGCUCGAGUGCGUGCGAGGAAGGCGGAAUGCGUUGUGUAGCGGUGAAAUGCAUAGAUAUGACGCAGAACUCCGAUUGCGAAGGCAGCUUUCCAGCGCGCUACUGACGCUGAGGCACGAAAGCGUGGGGAUCGAACAGGAUUAGAUACCCUGGUAGUCCACGCAGUAAACGAUGGACACUAGCUGUUCGGACCGAGAGAGGUUUGAGUGGCACAGCGAAAGCGUUAAGUGUCCCACCUGGGGAGUACGCCGGCAACGGUGAAACUCAAAGGAAUUGACGGGGGCCCGCACAAGCGGAGGAACAUGUGGUUUAA
rnacentral:rRNA from 1 species